ensembl:lincRNA E330013P04Rik RIKEN cDNA E330013P04 gene
GUUGCUUAAUAAAAUAAAAAUAGGUUUGGGGAUGGACAUUCCUGAUACUCAAGACCCUAGAUUCAAUCCUCCAGGUGGAUAGAGGAAUCAAUCACCUGAAUGAAUAUCUUUAAGAUAAAAUAAUUUCAUAAGUAUUUUUCUUAUAUUUGCCAAAGCCUUUUCUUCUUGGUGGGGCAGUUUUCAGAUUGACUUUCAAACCAAGUUAUCCUCUCUGUGUCUGCCUUUCUUUCCACAGCCCUCCUCUUUGCUCCCUGUCUGAAGUCUGCAUAUUCCAUGAAUCCUUGAGGGAGCCUGAUUCUUAUAAGGCAGGGGUCACUAAAGGAACCACAACAGUGUCUCCCUUGGAGAAAAGGAAAGGAAAUCACCACUGUUUAAGAACGCCACAGAAUUCAUUCCCUUCAGAUACUGUCCGUGUGUGAGUUACACGUGCCAACUGCCAGGUAUGUGAGUGUGUAUGCUCCUGUGUGCUCCCCAGAACUAGUUUCUCUGCCCAGUUUUGAGACGCCUUUUAUGGAGGAGACCUGUGCCUGCUCCCUACUUACGUUUCCAUCUGCCUUCUUUCUCAUUACAACUGUCGACAGUGUCCAACGACAGAAUAUGGCUCCAAGAACCACUGUUUGAAAAGUAUUUAAUGAUAUUCCCUGAAGUUACUUGGCCAAAUACGACUGAAUCUUUAUAACCCAGAGAGAAAACAAAAUUAUUUACUCAUUCAGUAUUUAUUAGUUUGGAAAUGGGGACACAGUACCUAACACACAAUUCGCCAAUGUUUGCUCUAUCCUGGUACCUGCCUCACAAGCUCCUUUCUAAGGCUUGAAGAGGAGACAUACGGUCCCAAGCUGAUGUUGACUCUUUGUAGCACAAUUCUUUAUGUUUUAAGGAGCAAUUAAUUCUGAUAAUUGCUGUUGGUACACCAUGGAUUUUAAAUGAUUUAUGAAAGAGUUUUCAGCUCUACUCAGGCGUCUCUGUGAGCGUGCUCUCCCAUUACUCCCACGCUCUAUGGAAUGCUAAAGACAAAGAAUAUGAGAAAGGGACAUAAAACUAAGAAGUAGAUAGCCCAGGCAAACCCCAGGUCACCCCCUCCUCACUCAUAAUUCAAGGUCGUAACGCAGACAGUGGACAAUUUUGAGGUGGAGAUGAGGUAUCAGAUGGAAUAGGAGACCACAGAUACUAAAAAUAGCUUUCUGGCUGGGAUAGCCUAUGGCCAGAAGUGUUAAGGCUCCCCAUUCUGCUGAGACAUCUGCCUGACCUAGUGGCCACCACCACUGACCCUCCCUUAUUAGGCUUCUACUCUGAGUAGUUUAGCAUUUUCCUUUCAAAAGAGAAAGACAGAAGUUGCACACCUGUAAUUCCAGACCUUGGGAGAUGGAGAUCGGAAGAUCAGGAGUUCAAGGCUGUACUUGGCUACAGAGCAAGUUCAAAGCCAGCCUGUGCUCCACAAAACCCUAUCUUGUGGCAAACCAAAACAUAACAUAACAUUUAAAAAAUGUGCAAUUUUUUUAAUGUCCAAGACUGGGAAUAGAAAUAAGCUUUGGCCUUCUGUUGUGUUUAUGAGGUAAGGCCCUUCCCAGACAGUAUUCAUCAUGACAGAUCAUUAAAGAGUUGGACCAGAGAAAGGCUCAGAACUAGCUCAAUAAAGGUAGCAGCCAAUAAGGGGAAAGCUAGAUAUUAUUGACAACGGCAACUACUUGGGCCCCGUGCUCAUGUCUCUAGGUCUGUGCUAUUCAUGAAACCCAGAGCACGAAAGAUAGCUACAGCUAUCGCUGUCUUUAAAUGAGGAAAUCAAGAUUUAAAAUAUUUGAGCCACUUGCUGGUCAUGUCCCCUAGGAAGUGGCAGUGCCAGAACAGCCUCUCAACCUACCCAGCACAGGGGAACAGCAGAGCUGUCCUCAUAUUCACACACAGGCCAGUCAUUCAUGAGCUCCAAGGAGUGUGUACAUUAUCCACCUCUGAUUCCUUACCCACAGCUCGGGAAAAGGCUUCAUAUUGGGUACAUGAGGAAAAGCUACAGGAGUUUUCUGGGCAAACACAACCUCAAAGCAAGAUUUCUAGGUCUUCUGACUGGACUGCAGACUCUCAGGCCCUCUCUCUGGGGACACCUUGAAGCUUCCUUGAAUUUACUAACACAGAUGUCAAUGUCUCUCCAGGAAACACUCCCUGAGUGGAUAACACACCCAACUGUGCCUUUGGCUGCCUACAACAGUGGCUGCCAGGUAGGAAUCUCUGUCAAUUCUAGAGUCAUGAAUGGCAACAGAGUUCAGCCUUGCUCUACUUGUAACAAAAAGAGCCUGAACCAUGGAGGGAAGGGGACACUCUGUGGUCCUCCCCAAUACUCUUGGUGUCCGGACAGUGAAACAUUGUUUCAAAGUCUCACCUAGAUUCCAGAAAAAGGAAAGCAAAGAAAGUAGAUGUCAAAGCCACACACGAAAACAGAGUUGUGUGAGCCUGGAAUGAGAGUGAUUUCUCCCCCUCCAACAAAGUUCUGUAUAAAAGAACUUGGAGGAGCACAAAGGCCAAGGACCCAAUGGGGGUUGUCCAUAAUUUAUCACCUAUCUAAGAGCUGUCUGGGGCAGAUUGAAGUCAUUAGCCAGGCAGGCUUGGGCGGGAGGAACCUCCAAGGUGCCUGGCACUGCAAGCCUGGAAGAGAAUCGGCAUGGUCCAAUCUUAAAUCUCUGAAAUAAAAUGACUAGGGUAUGUUUCCUUCUUCUCGCCUCCCAGGAUCAACAUGUGCCCUUUAAAAAAAAAAAAAAAAAGGCACUGGGUCUGAUAAAAAUCACAUCCAUUUACUGCAGUGUCUUUUCCAUGGCUUCGGAAGAAAGGCCUUUAUCAUGCCCUGAAUUAGAUCUGUGAUUUUUUUUUUGAAUGACAUGUAUAAUAAUUAGACUGUGAAGAUGUGCAGUUAAUCCAUUUAAAGGUGUAAAGAAGUCCAUUUAAUGAACAUUAUAGUCAUGUUAGACUUGGAAACAGCCAACUCUUUUGUUGAAUAAAAAGAAGUUCAAUG